GACGGAGGAUGCAAGCGUUAUCCGGAAUUAUUGGGCGUAAAGCGUCCGCAGGUGGCUGUUCAAGUCUGCUGUCAAGCGCAGAGCUUAACUCUGUACAGGCGGUGGAAACUGAAGAGCUAGAGUAUGGUAGGGGUAGAGGGAAUUCCCGGUGUAGCGGUGAAAUGCGUAGAUAUCGGGAAGAACACCAGUGGCGAAAGCGCUCUACUGGGCCAUAACUGACAC
rnacentral:rRNA from 1 species